rnacentral:rRNA from 1 species
UGGGUAGUCCGCACGAGCGCACCUCAUCUUUAGUUGCCAGCAGUUCGGCUGGGCACUCUAAAGAAACUGCCUGGGAUGACCAGGAGGAAGGCGGGGAUGACGUCAAGUCCUCAUGGCCCUUAUGGGCUGGGCUACACACGUGCUACAAUGGCGGUUACAAUGGGAAGCAAAGGGGUGACCUGGAGCUAAUCCAUAAAGGCCGUCUCAGUUCGGAUUGUUCUCUGCAACUCGAGAACAUGAAGUCGGAAUCGCUAGUAAUCGUGGAUCAGCACGCCACGGUGAAUACGUUCCCGGGCCUUGUACACACCGCCCGUCACACCAUGGGAGUUGGUUUUACCCGAAGACGAUAUCCUAACCUUUUGGAGGGAGUCGGCCACGGUAGGGUCAGCGACUGGGGUGAAGUCGUAACAAGGUAGCCGUAGGGGAACCUGCGGCUGGAUCACCUCCUUUCU